ensembl:lncRNA
CACAGCGUCACAAAGAGUCAGACAUGUCUGAAGCGACUUAGCACAUAUUAUUAGCUAUGUCUGCCUGUAUAUUUCGAAGAUGUCACAAGUUGAGUUUUCUCAGUUUUAAUCCUAAAUGCAAAUAAUUAAGUCCAGGAACAUUAAGUCUAUACACGUAAGGAUUUAUAUGCAUAGUUUUUGUGGCUAUCGCAGAAAGGAGCCGAGUUCCACACUGGUCAGCGCAAUGGAAGAGAGUGACAGCUUGCAUGAAGCGACAAGAUCAUCGAGAACCUCCCAAAGUCAGCAGAGGUGGGAACCUGCAGUAGGAACAUUGGUGAGAUGGCUUGUUCCACAGCCAGGCUCUCGGGGAAAGAUCAUCUGAAGCUGUCAUAUCAAAACAGCCUCCAGCUGGGACCAGAGGACAAGAUGGCACAGAAUAGGUUGAGUUCAUGAAUAAGCAAAAGUUUGACAGACACGGAAUGGCACAUCAGUUAACAUCCAAUAAGAUCAAAUGAAAGGGAGAGAAACUAGGAACAAGAGACCAGCUAAAGGCAUCACCCAGUACUAUGGAUAAGAGACUGAGAAUCUGAGCUAACGAAGCCAUAGUGAAGAUGGAGAAGAGGAAAGGAUGCGAG